UACGUAGGGACCGAGCGUUGUCCGGAAUCAUUGGGCGUAAAGAGCGUGUAGGCGGCCACUUAAGUCCUGCGUGAAAUCUUGCGGCUCAACCGCAAGCGGUCGUGGGAAACUGGGUGGCUAGAGUGCGGGAGAGGAGAGUGGAAUUCUUGGUGUAGCGGUGGAAUGCGCAGAUAUCAGGAAGAACACCCGUGGCGAAGGCGGCUCUCUGGAACGCAACUGACGCUGAGACGCGAAAGCGUGGGGAGCAAACAGG
rnacentral:rRNA from 1 species